rnacentral:rRNA from 1 species
UUAGAUACCCUGGUAGUCCACGCUGUAAACGAUGUCGAUUUGGAGGUUGUGCCCUUGAGGCGUGGCUUCCGGAGCUAACGCGUUAAAUCGACCGCCUGGGGAGUACGGCCGCAAGGUUAAAACUCAAAUGAAUUGACGGGGGCCCGCACAAGCGGUGGAGCAUGUGGUUUAAUUCGAUGCAACGCGAAGAACCUUACCUACUCUCGACAUCCAGAGAACUUAGCAGAGAUGCUUUGGUGCCUUCGGGAACUCUGAGACAGGUGCUGCAUGGCUGUCGUCAGCUCGUGUUGUGAAAUGUUGGGUUAAGUCCCGCAACGAGCGCAACCCUUAUCCUUUGUUGCCAGCGGUUCGGCCGGGAACUCAAAGGAGACUGCCAGUGAUAAACUGGAGGAAGGUGGGGAUGACGUCAAGUCAUCAUGGCCCUUACGAGUAGGGCUACACACGUGCUACAAUGGCAUAUACAAAGAGAAGCGACCUCGCGAGAGCAAGCGGACCUCAUAAAGUAUGUCGUAGUCCGGAUUGGAGUCUGCAACUCGACUCCAUGAAGUCGGAAUCGCUAGUAAUCGUAGAUCAGAAUGCUACGGUGAAUACGUUCCCGGGCCUUGUACACACCGCCCGUCACACCAUGGGAGUGGGUUGCAAAAGAAGUAGGUAGCUUAACCUUCGGGAGGGCGCUUACCACUUUGUGAUUCAUGACUGGGG